AUGAACGCUGGCGGCGUGCUUAACACAUGCACGUCGAACGGAAAGGCUCCUGCUUGCAGGGGUACUCGAGUGGCGAACGGGUGAGUAACACGUGGGUGAUCUGCCCUUCACUUCGGGAUAAGCCUGUGAAACUGGGGCUAAUACCGGAUAGGGCGAUGGUUUUGAUGCCAUUGUGGAAAGUUUUUCGGGGUGGGGUGAGCUCGCGGCCUAUCAGCUUGUUGGUGGGGUAAUGGACUACCAAGGCGUCGGCGGGUGGCCGGCCUGAGAGGGUGGACGGCCACAGUGGGGCUGAGAGACGGCACCGACGCCUACGGGAGGCAGAAGUGGGGAAUAUUGAACAAUGGGCGCAAGCCGGAUGCAGAGACGCCGCGGGGGGGAGGACGGCCUUAGGGUUGUAAACUCCGUUCGCUAGGGACGAAGCGUUUUGUGACGGUACCUGGAGAAGAAGCACCGGCUAACUACGUG
rnacentral:rRNA from 1 species